rnacentral:tRNA from 1 species
AGGGAGACCUACCUUGGGGCAUCUGAGGGGAGUUAGACCACCCUCAGGCCAGCAAAGGUUAUCCCAGGUCGGUCGGGGUUGAAGGGAUGGUUGACUGGGGUUCUGGAGGGGAACCGAGGGGAGGGCUAUUAGCUCAGGUGGUUAGAGCGCACCCCUGAUAAGGGUGAGGUCCCUGGUUCGAGUCCAGGAUGGCCCACUGUUUGUCCUGGAGAAGGGAGAGCUAGCAAGCUAGAAGCGAGCUGGCCAAGCUGAGGGCAAAGCCAGAGGGUGGGUGCAGUCUGGAUUGGGGGUAUAGCUCAGCUGGUAGAGCGCUGCCUUUGCACGGCAGAAGUCAGCGGUUCGAGUCCGCUUACCUCCACCAC